UUUCUGCUACUUCUGCGAUUUCUGUGACUUCUGCUACUUCUGCGAUUUCUGUGACUUCUGCGAUUUCUGCGACUUACCACCGUAUGAAAAAGUUACAUCUGCCCACACAGAAAAUUGCAUCUCAACAAAUCUGUCAUUGGUACCCGAACUACAUUUCAGUCACUCAGUAAAUUGAUAACUCAAAAUAUCAUUGUCAACAGAUCUGGAGAAAUUGCCACUGCGUCUUUAGACCGUUUUCGUCAGACGAGAGACACAGUUCUGACUCUUGAUUACUGGUUGCUGUACGUAUCUAUCCACAUCAAGGCUAUUGAGAGAGACUCGUGAAGAUUCAAGACAGCUCUUAGAGGAUUUGCAGUUUAAAAGUGACAUAAUUGUGAAAUAAGUGUGCAGAUGAGUGAUUAAACUGUGUUUUAUUGAAGUUGUUAUGCGAUUUUAAAGGAAUAAUAAAUGUUAAAUACAGUG